UACGAAGGGGGCUAGCGUUGCUCGGAAUGACUGGGCGUAAAGGGCGCGUAGGCGGGCUGUAUAGUCAGAUGUGAAAUUCCCGGGCUCAACCUGGGGGCGGCAUUUGAUACGUAUGGUCUUGAGUGGGGAAGAGGGUCGUGGAAUUCCCAGUGUAGAGGUGAAAUUCGUAGAUAUUGGGAAGAACACCGGUGGCGAAGGCGGCGACCUGGUCCUUUUACUGACGCUGAGGCGCGAAAGCGUGGGGAGCAAACAGG
rnacentral:rRNA from 1 species